rnacentral:tRNA from 1 species
AAUGAAGUGCCUGACCUGAAAGGAUUAUUUUGAUAGAGUAAAUCAUGUAAAUUUUUACCUUCAUUA